rnacentral:tRNA from 1 species
AGCCUGGUUGGCCGAGUGGAAAAGCGCUGCGGGGGUCGAAGCCAGCCCGGUUCUGAACCGUGUGCUGGCCUCCCCUCCGGAGACCCUGGUUCGAAUCCAGGAUCGGGCACUCC